UAUGUAACAGUACUUGAUUGGAUUCAAUUAAUAAUCUUGAUUUUAGUGUUUACCAAUUAAAAAAAUUAGGAAAUCUUUCUUGCGAGCAUUUUCUCUAUGAUCUUCCUUUAACGUCUUUGUGUUUUUCUUUCUUGUCAUCUCAUCUUUUGCUUUCACCUACAGAUCCAAGCUGUACUUGAAUCUUACUCUUCUUCAAAUAUUUAUUCUGCUGGUAAUGAAGAGGAUGUGUUCCCGGGACAUACUUUAUUGUCAGAAAUUUCAUUACCAGAGAUGAAAAGUUACAAGAUUUUUUAGGAGUUGGAGCGGAAUCUAAUAUUCAAUAAUGGCAACAGGCGACUUAAAAAGAAGCUUGCGGAAGCUAGAACAAGUACUUCGUUUGCUAAAUUACCCUAAUGAAGUGGAUUAUGUUGGUUUGAUGAGAGGGGACACCGCAGCAUCCUUGCCCAUCAUCAGCUAUUCUCUUACCUCGUACUCCCCUUAUAUAGCAGAGCUUCUCAUGGAAUCCAAUAUAGAGCUCAUAGCAAAGAAUGAUGUGCGCUUCACAGACACCGUCUAUAAGCUUCUUCGUGAUCAAUUUGAUUAUAAGCCAAUUUUGACAAAAAAGCAGUUUAUACAGUCUGGAUUUGCUGAGUGGAAAAUCCAAAUUGUCUGUGAUGUGUUGAAUUGUGUGAUGAAAAAGCACAAGGAAUUGAUUGGCUCUGACAAGAAUCCAUCAUGCCAAAAGAAGAAGAACAUCUCUGAAAAGCCAGAACCUUGUUUGAGCAGUGAGAACCCCACUGUAGAGGCUGUUGGCGUUGACAUCACUGGCAGGUUCAUGACUUCAGGGAAGAAAAAAGCUGUGGUCAUCCGUCACCUGUACACUGAAGACAGUGCUGACAUGCCCGAAGGGACAGGAAGUUCGGCAGAAGUGAGUGAAGGCUGUGAAGAUUCAGAGCAGACCUCUGACAUCAUGAUUGCUGAGGAGCAGGUCUCCAAUGUUGUGAUUGCUGACGAGCAGGCCUCUGACAUCAAGACUGAGCUGAAAGACGUACGUGAUAAUCCUGAGAUUAUUGCACUUCAGAUCGCACUUGCUGAAUGCCAAGAGAAGCUUAAGAGGCUGACCUGGGUAGAGAAAAGGCUUGAGUGUUUGGAAGCCACAGCAAAAGGGAAAGUGAUGGUCGAUGAGAAGGCCUGGAAUAACCUCGUGAGCCGAGUCACUCUGCUUGAGACAGAGCUGCUGCUGUCUAAGAAGGUAAAUGAAUGCGUAGAGCUUAAUGCAGCAAGUGAAGACUCUGACUCUGUUAGUGGCUUGGAUAAUGUGCCCUUUGAUAAACAGUACAGUAUGGGGGCACCAGCCAGUACGUACCGCUCAUCUGGCUAUAGCACAGUGUCAGCAGAAUCAACGUCCAGGGGCUCCACUAUUCAUUGUUGUGGACUGAAAGAUUUUUCAGAGGAAACAACAAUCCAGAAAAUGGAAAGGAUGAAAAAAAUGUUUGAAGAGACUGCAGAGCUACUGAAAUGCUCAAGUCGCUAACUAUAGAGUUUUUUGCAUGAACAUCUCUAGGACUUUGGCUACUUAUAGAUGAGUGAAGUCGUUACAGCAAGCUCUGUAUUUUUGUGUUGACAUUUACUGGCUGUGUGCUAAGUAACAUGUUUUUAGAAGUAAGGGCUGGAGAACCAUUGUCUACAUCCUACUGAAGGCAUUGCACCUAGGACUUGUAUAUUGUCCCCAGGAGGCAGGCUCUCAUAUGUACAGUCUUGCAGUCUGUGCAGGUGAAUAAAUUUUAAUGCAAAGUUAAAAUGUUCACUGAGAAUGAAACAAGUGCAGCUGUGUCUUCUUUAUUAACACUGCCAUACUGAGGGCAUGGUUCCUUAGUGUGUUCUAUGGGAAAUGUGCAGAGUGCCUAACACCGUCAGCACAGACAUAGAGGGAGGCCAUCCAUGUGAUACACGGUGAAGGAGAUUUUCACUUCUAAAAAUGAAAAGUUAUCAGCUUUUAAGGGCAGAAAAAGCCUUAAAGUUAAAUUGAAAGAAAAUUAAAAUCUCUUAGAAAGUUACUAUGUAAAUGUCCUUCUAACUUUGUAGAUAAAAAUGUGAUACUAAUUCUGGGUGAUAGUCAAAAUCCUGGAAAGAUAUCCUUCGAUUUUAUAUUUUAUGUUAGUCAUCUC